AAUUUUUUAUUUGCAAUAAUUUAAUUUGUAUAAACUAGCUUCCAUUGUGAUUGUGCGUAAUGGAACGGAGAUGGCAGCGCGGGCGCGCGUCUUUUUGGAUAGGUCUGUGUAAUCUGUGGACGACGAACCGAGGCGGCGUCCGUCAGUCAGCGUCAUCGUACAUCAUUCUUUUCGUUCAUUCUUUUUUCUGUUGUUUACUUCAUUUGUUUGACCGGAUUAGUGUAACACACAAUAGAUGUUUCAUUAAUUAAUUGAUCAAUCAAACAAUAAUAUUACUAAACAAAAACGUUAGAGGAGUCGUUUUUAGUGAUGUGAUGAGUGCUGUGAAGUUAUAAACCAAAUAGUAAACACGUGGAACACGUAAAUUCGAUUUGUUUACCACAUUAGCCUAUAGUUUUGAAGAUUGUGCGCCAAUCCUGUUUAUUAAGUUUAAGGCUGACUAUGAUUAUAAACAUUAAUGAAAAUUUUGAGAUUAACGUACCUAGAUGUAGAUUUCAUUAAUCACACUUCAAUCGUCUCUUUUUCAUGCUAGGCAUCUAAGAAUAAACAUACUGAUGGAUUCUUCGUUUUAUUUUCCCUUGUGUUCAUUCAUAGAUAAUGGCAAACUUCAUACCAACCCGGAAGGGCAGCUUACUAUUAGUCCAUAAUGGCUUUGCAUUUCGGUUGAAGAAUAAAUUGGCAUACGGAAAGAAACAAUGGUACUGCACUUCACGCACCAAGACUGGCUGUCAUGUAGAUGUUACCACCGAAGUCCAUCGAGAAGGACAAAUUAUCAAGAGAGUUCGUAAAAUUCACAAUCACCCUGCUCCAGGAUUUUACCGUCGUAAUGAUGGGUCUUUUAAGGUUGUAUAGUUUUAAUUUAAGACUGAUAAUUUAUUUCGCUUCCUCAUGAUGUACCUUAAUAUUUUUACAAAACAAUUAAGAAUAAUUUAUCUCGCUACCUCAUGAUUUGAGUACCAUAAUAUUUUUACAAAAACAAUUAAGACUGAUAUUAAGGACUGAGUUGCAUUGAUGCAAAAUUAAUGGUAAUUAAUUUUUAGCUAUUAUUAUAGCUAAAAAUUAAUUACCAUUAAUUUAAGACUUACUUUAAGAAUUACUUUAAGACUGAUAAAAUACUCAUUGCCAUCUUAGAUAAUUUAAUAAUUGUCUCAAUUUAUUGAUUUAAGGUUUUAUUUUUAAAUUUGUAUUUGGUGUGAAAUAAUACUUUUUUUAUGUUUUCUUCAUCAUCAUUUUAAGCUUUAUUUUGAAAAUAAUUUUAAUACUGUUUUCUUUCUUUGAAGAUAAGGGUGAUAAAUUGUUCAUGUCAUACCCAAAUAUGUCUACUAUUUUGUCUAUUUUACUGCCAGUUCAAUAUUUUAG